GCGAUUCCUGGGCUCCCUCUGCUCCACCAAAUGACUCCCCAGUCACCCCUCAGGAGCUGCUGGCACUGUCAGAAGCCUCCUGGCAGACACUGGAGCCACGAUGAAGCCCCCAAGGCCUGUCCGUACCUGCAGCAAAGUUCUCGUCCUGCUUUCACUGCUGGCCAUCCACCAGACUACUACUGCCGAAAAGGUAGCCAGUGUCCAUGGGUGUGGCGUGAGCUGGGGGAUGAGAGAACGCCUGGGAAGUGGGGAAGAGCCUCCGCAUGUGCCAGCGUGUCAGCACAAGUGCGUGUGCAUCCCUGUGUGUGCAAAAAAAUGGUGCAGACCUCCCGCCAGGCACUACCCCAAGGGCCUUACUGGUAUUCUCCCACCUAAUAGAGGGGAUGAUCCAAUCAUUUCCAUUUUCCAAAUGAGGAAAUACAGUUUUACAAGCCUGGCUCUACCGCCUUUUAGUAAGUGACCUCAGGAGAAUGAUUUAUGCUGACUAUGUCUCAAUUUCCUCAUCUGUAAAACAGGGUAAUACUAGAACCUAUUCAGAGGGUGGCGGUUGUGAAAACCAAACCCAUUGUAUCUAUAAAGUGCUUAGGACAGUGCUUGUUGUGAAAACCAAACCCAUUGUAUCUAUGAAGUGCUUAGGACAGUGCUUGUCGCAGAGCAAAUACCCAAGCACAUAAACAAGCCACUUGGCACCUCUGUGCCAAACUGCAUUCAGGCAGCCGCAUGCAGCCGAGCAGAGUUGGUGCAGUGCGCAUGAGCAUGUCACACACAAGCAGGUAAGAGGUGCCCGUGUGCCCCUCCUCGGGGGACACAGACCUCAAGGCAAAUGGCACCUGCUAGGGGAGUGCCCUGCGGAAGUGGGGAUGAGUUGGGGAGGGUCCACUGC
rnacentral:lncRNA from 1 species